UACGUAGGGUGCAAGCGUUGUCCGGAAUUAUUGGGCGUAAAGAGCUCAUAGGCGGUUUGUUGCGUCGGCUGUGAAAUCCCGAGGCUCAACCUCGGGUCUGCAGUCGAUACGAGCAAACUAGAGUGUUGCAGGGGAGACUGGAAUUCCUGGUGUAGCGGUGAAAUGCGCAGAUAUCAGGAGGAACACCGGUGGCGAAGGCGGGUCUCUGGGCAACAACUGACGCUGAAGAGCGAAAGCGUGGGGAGCGAACAGG
rnacentral:rRNA from 1 species